UCGUUAAAUAGAAUCAAGAACACAUACAGUCACGACGUGAUAAAGUUGUCUUUAGAAGGUGCAUGAAACGGCUGUAAAACGAGGAUCCGAAUUUUUACAAA